rnacentral:rRNA from 1 species
GAUGAACGCUGGCGGCGUGCCUAAUACAUGCAAGUCGAGCGAACAGACCAGGAGCUUGCUCUUCUGACGUUAGCGGCGGACGGGUGAGUAACACGUGGAUAACCUACCUAUAAGACUGUGAUAACUUCGGGAAACCGGAGCUAAUACCGGAUACUAUAUUUAACCUCAUGGUUCCAUAGUGAAAGACGGUUUUGCUUUCACUUAUAGAUGGAUUCGGGCCGCAUUAGCUAUUUGGUAAGGUAACGGCUUACCAAGGCGACGAUGCGAAGCCGACCUGAGAGGGGGGUAGGCCACACUGGAACUGAGCCACGGUACAGACUCCAACGGGAGGCAGCAGUAGGGAAUCUUCCGCAAGGGGAGAAAGCCUGACGGAGCAACGCCGCGUGGGGGAUAAAGGGAUUCGGAUAGGAAAACUAAGUUAUUAGGGAAGAACAAAUGUGUAAGUAACUAUGCACGUAUUGAAGGUACCUAAUCAGAAAGCCACGGCUAACUACGUG